rnacentral:rRNA from 1 species
UACGUAGGGUGCGAGCGUUGUCCGGAAUUACUGGGCGUAAAGAGCUCGUAGGUGGUUUGUCGCGUUGUUCGUGAAAACUCACAGCUUAACUGUGGGCGUGCGGGCGAUACGGGCAGACUGGAGUACUGCAGGGGAGACUGGAAUUCCUGGUGUAGCGGUGGAAUGCGCAGAUAUCAGGAGGAACACCGGUGGCGAAGGCGGGUCUCUGGGCAGUAACUGACGCUGAGGAGCGAAAGCGUGGGUAGCGAACAGG